rnacentral:rRNA from 1 species
GACGAACGCUGGCGGCAGGCUUAACACAUGCAAGUCGAACGCACCUUUCGGGGUGAUUGGCCUACGGGUUAGUAACGCGUGGGAAUCUACCCUUCUCUACGGGCUAGCUCCGGGAAACUGGAAUUAUUACCGUAUCCGACCUGAGGGCGGAUGAUUUAUCGGAGCAGGAUGAGCCCGAGUUACAUUAGCUAGUUGGUAGGGUAAGGGCCUACCAAGGCGACGAUGCGUAGCUGAUCUAAGAGGGUGAUUAGCAACACUGGAACUGAGACACGGCCAAGAAUCCUACGAGAGGCAGCAGUAGGGAAUCUUCCGGAAUGGGAGAAAGCGUGACGGAGCAACGCCGCGUGAGUGAUGAAGGUCUUCGGAUCGUAAAACUCUGUUAUGAGGGAAGAACAAAUGUGUAAGUAACUAGGCACGACUUGAAGGUACCUAAUAAGAAAGCCACGGCUAACUACGUG